rnacentral:rRNA from 1 species
GAUGAACGCUAGCGGCAGGCUUAACACAUGCAAGUCGAGGGGUAGAGGUUGCUUGCAACCUUGAGACCGGCGCACGGGUGCGUAACGCGUAUGCAACCUACCUUUUACAGAGGGAUAGCCCAGAGAAAUUUGGAUUAAUACCUCAUAGUAUAUAGUCUUCGCAUGUUGACUAUAUUAAAGUUCCAACGGUAAAAGAUGGGCAUGCGUCCUAUUAGCUAGAUGGUAAGGUAACGGCUUACCAUGGCAACGAUAGGUAGGGGUCCUGAGAGGGAGAUCCCCCACACUGGUACUGAGACACGGACCAGACUCCUACGGGAGGCAGCAGUGAGGAAUAUUGGACAAUGGGCGCAAGCCUGAUCCAGCCAUGCCGCGUGCAGGAAGAAGCAUCUAUGGUGUGUAAACUGCUUUUGUACGGGAAGAAACACUCCGACGUGUCGGAGCUUGACGGUACCGUAAGAAUAAGGAUCGGCUAACUCCGUGCCAGCCGCCGCGGUAACAC